rnacentral:misc_RNA from 1 species
UUAAUCACUUGCAGUACAUUUUAUUUCAGGAAGAAUGCCCUAUCACAAUUCAUUCCUCAAUCGUUGGAAAGCAAAUGUUCAUCCAAAAGAAAACACUAACUAAUCUGUUGACGAAAAAGUUGUAUAAAACAGCUAGAAUGCACUGAAAUAAAAUGUACUGCAAGUGAUUAAAGAUCAUAUGCAUACAUUUACAGAAUAUCAGAAAAGGUAGAGGUAACUCCCCACUCCCAGUGCCAGUGCCUUUGGUUAAUUGGUGAUGACCAGUAAGCACAUAUUUGUAAACACUGUACAGGCAACAUACUUGAGACAAACUCAUCAACUUUCCUGAUUUUCAAUUCAAGCAUUGAUGCAUGUUUACAAUUGGAGAACCCUCUCAAUGGCAGCAACAUAGAAUUCCUUUGGCAUUGUGCCAACGACCGACUCCCGCUUCUCUCCAUUUUUGAAAAGCAAAACCACCGGGACAGCUUUAAUUUCAUAAUUCUCAGCAAUUUGCAAGUCACUGUCUGUGUUAAGAACAAAGCAUUUUAGUUUCCCAUCAUAAUCUCCCGCAAUUUCAUCAAUCACCCGGUGAACCAUCCUGCAGGGCCCACACCAACUUGCAUAAAAUUCAACUAGGACUGGUAUAUCACUUUUCAAAAUCAACUUCUCCCAUGAAUCCUUAGUGACAGCUGCAGCUCGAGAAUCACGAGAGCAAAGAACCCUGAAAGGAGAAGGCGGAGGAGGCGCGCUUUUGACAGAGAGCAUAGCGAGUCUAUUGGAGUGCAAGGUGAAGGGGAAUGGGAGGGAGGGAAGGCGUAGAUGGCAGUGGUGGAGGGAGUACGGGGAGGCGCGUGGAGAAGGUAGAGGAAGAGGAGAGGAAAGUGAAGAAGAAGAAGCCAUUGGAGAAAAGAGAGGAGGUUUGUUAGUAGCAAACGGGUUUUAUUUACAAAGGAAAAGGAGAAUUAGUUGAGAGGCAGAGUUCGGUGGCAUCAGUCAG